rnacentral:rRNA from 1 species
UCCUUACGGGAGGCACCAGUGGGGAAUUUUGGCCAAUGGGGGAAAGCUGGAUCCAGCCAUCCGGCGUGUGUGAAGAAGCUCUUCGGAUGGUAAAGCACUUUAAGUUGGGAGGAAGGGCUUUUGUUUAAUCCCGGGUGGUUUUGACGUUACCGACAGAAUAAGCCCCGGCUAAUUUCGUGCCAGCAGCCGCGGUAAUACGAAGGGGGCAAGCGUUAUUCGGAAUUACUGGGGGUAAAGCGCGGGUAGGGGGUUUUUUAAGUUGGAUGUGAAAGCCCCGGGCUCACCCUGGGAAUUGCAUCCAAAACUGGCCAGCUAGAGUUUGGCAGAGGGUGGUGGAAUUUCGGGUGUAGCGGUGAAAUGCGUAGAUAUUGGAAGGAACACCAGUGGCGAAGGCGACCCCCUGGGCUAAUACUGACACUGAGGUGGGAAAGCGUGGGGAGCAAACAGGUUUAGAUCCCCUGGUAGUCCACCCCGUAAUCCGAUUGGGGGGGGCCGGGGGGGGAGUCCCCCCCCCGUGGC